rnacentral:lncRNA from 1 species
CUGAGGCGGCGGGCGCCGGGCAGGCGGGAAAAGGUGACAUCGCGAGGAACGACGGUCACGGCCGGGCAGGGCCACGCCAGCCUCGUCCCCUUCGGGUUGAGAUCUCGGGUUUGUCAGCGGUUCCCUGGGAGAACAGGUGAUGUGUGGACCUCAGGACUCUACCGAAGUUCUCUGGCCAGGAGCAGAAGGGGAGCUGAGGGGCUGCCCUCAUCCCUGUGCUCUUCUGGGGGCUCCCGGAGGGAGGUGAGUCCCCAGCCCAUGCUGCCCCCCUGGUCCAGGUCCAGGGGCCAAACUGCCCUGGGUCUCCCCCACAGCAUAGCUCAGGCUUGAUACCUACACCUCGCAUCCUGCUGCCCCCAUGCCCACCCCCGCUACGGGCCUCCCCGCCCACGGGCCCCGUCCUGUCCAGGGACAUUUCUUCUGUGGCCUUGACCCAUUCGAACAGCUCCAAGUUUAGCCCCACUCAGCCCUGGAAAGAGGGACACGGUGGAGAAUUUCGGGCCAUUUCCCCCCCAGACCUCUGGCAGUUUUUGUUCCUGAACGUGACUGAGGUCAUACUUGCACUCAGUAUCCAUCCAGGCUUGUUCCCUCUUCUGUGAGUUCAUUCGUUUAUUCUUCCAAGCUGUAGGGGCAGGACGGUAGGUAGCCCCAGCAGACGGGAGUGGAGUGAACAUAGAUGGGGUAGAGAGAGCUGCACUGUGACCCCACUGACCUUCUACGGGGCGACAGCCAGAUGUGCACAGCAGCCUCUCCGGGAUGAGGAUGUUUACUGCAGCGCAACCUCUCAGGUUCUAGAACCUUCCACAGUGUCACCAUGUCUCCAGUGUCUCCCCUCCUUUCCAAAUACGGCACUCUUGCCCUGGAGUUUUCAGCCAGAAGCAAAUUACUUCCUAUGGAAAAGACAGAUCCUAGAAUGUGAGUCUGGGGCUUUUGUUCAUUCCUUUGGCCGGGAUUACCUAUUUUUACAAUAAUCAUGCGUUAUUUUUAUAUUCAUCACAAUAGGAAACUUCCCAGUUUGGGAAGAGAGAUGCCAGGGAGUGGUGUUUCCCUGCAGGAAGCAGAGGCAGGUCAGUGCAUGGACAGGGCCGGGCCAGGCCGCACAGACUCUUGGCCAAUGUGGCCCUGUGUACAGCUCCCUCAGUCUCCCCACCGGCCACGCCCAGCCGGCUGCCCUGUCCUCAGCCCCUCAGCGCCACUUCCUAUUAAUACAAGCCGCGUGGGCCCCUCGCUGUGGUGUCUCCAGGCAGAAAAGGAAGCCACAGCCGCCUAGUGGCUGCCAAGGAGGCCGGCAGGAAGGGGCAUCUCCACCAGGCGUCUCCUGGGAAACAGCGAGCUCCCCAGAGAAGGGACAUUUGGAAACAAAACUCCUGCCUGUGUUGUGUGCUUCACGUGUGUUGGGUGGGAGAGGCGCUGAGAAGCCUCCUCGGCCCCCCAACUCCUGUCUCCUCAGGGAAGCCUUCUCAGCGCCUCUCCUCACUCCCUCCCCACUUGGGCUCUGCUGGGACUGGAAAGUGGCCCAGAAAGUGGCCUUCAGUUUAGGGUGCAGCUGGAAGGGGAGAGCCCUGGGCCCAGAGUCUGAGGCCCCACUUCGGGCUUCUCUGCCUCCCCUGUCACCCCCCCCUGCCUAUUGCACCCCCUUUCCCAGUCCUCGGUUGUUCCUUUGCAAAGUGAGGGUGCGGAUGAGAUCACCCCAUCGCUCCCCACCCUCCCGGGGGUCCUCCACAGGCCACGCCUUCCCACCCUUGGGAUGGACGCCCCACAGGAGCUCAGGGCUCCUUGUGUGACCUGACUGGUGGCCCAGCCUGGGCUGGCUUGGCCCUCGCGCCUGGUGCGCCUGGGUAUUUGAGGGUCCAUGGAGAACUGCAGAGGCUUUGGGGGUCUCCAGGCCCCAGGCCUGAGGCUCUCUCUUGCUGUCCUGCACCAGGGGCCACUGCCUGCCACAUCUCCUCAGUGGCGACCCCUUCUCAAAGGACCCUCUUCAUAGUGUCCUGAGCCACGCUCAGGGAGCAGCACCAAACCACCUGGGAAACGGGAGUGGGUGACAGCCCUGUGCCCCUAACUCACCCGCGCCCUUUGCCAUCCUUUGCUCUUGAGGGACCGAGCCCCAUCCACGCUCAGCAAGCCCGACCUCCCCAGUAAAGUGCAAAUGGCAAGGGGAUGAGCAGUAAAAAGAAUAGAGAUGUGGGGCUGGGGUGUAGCUCAGUGGCGCCCGCACCUGCUCGGCAGGCGCAAGGUCCUGAGUUCAAACCCAGGUGCCAGAAAAGAUAAUAAUAAUAGAGAUGUGUUCUGUGCAUGUACCAACUCCUCACAAGGAAUGUAAUCGUGGUGUACUGCAGGCAUGGAAUAAUAAAUUUUUUAAUGAGAUACUAAAAAUAGGGGUUGGGGGACUUUGGACUCCCCAGACGGAGUCAGAGAUGCCCAAGUGCAAGCCCUCUCCCUGAUCUUACCACCUAGAGACCCCUUCCGCAGGAGUCCCCCCCCUUGUGGGCAGGGCAGAGGUUGAUUGAGAGCUCCCCAUGCAGAAACAGCCGCCGCUCUGAGGAAGCCCUGGCCACAGGGGUGGGGAAUGGGAGGCAGAAGCGCGUGGGGAGGGUACAGAUCCCAACUCUCCUUGUCACCUUUGUCCUGGGGGCCUACCGUGCAUUGUGCCGGGCGUGGGCUCUGUCCACUUUGACCUAGACUAUGGCGCUCUGUCCCCACCCCAGGCGCCAAACCUGGAGCUAUCCUUCCACUCUGACAGAGGAGGAAGCUGAGACUCAGGCGUUGUGUGGCUUGGCCAAGGUCACACAGGGCCUUGUCAGGACCGGCCAGGAUCCCAGCCCAGGCUGGCGCCCUCAGUGGGUUCUCCCCGCUGCCAGAGAGCAGGUCUGGAGUUGGGGUUUCAGUCAGAGCUGUCCGAUCCCCACAGAGAAUCUAUUGUCAUCUGCCCUUCCCUCCUCACCCAUCUGCCAGGCAAGUCGCAGGUGAGGCCCCGCCAUGGCCCCUGCCUGGUGCUCCCAAGGUGGCUCUGAGGUCACCCACACCCCAGAGCCUGCUUUCUGUGCCUCCACAUCUCUGAACAUUUGGGGAAAGCAGGACAGGAGAGGUCACUUGAAGGUUGGAAGUAGGGCUCAGGUUAUGGUCCAGGGAUUGGGGGGCCUGGCUGUCUCCCCACCCGCAGGAACCCUUCCCCCACACCACCCCCUCACCCCAGAGACAGCCCAAGCUUUGCUUAGUUAAUGAAAUACAAAGGAGGAACCAGGGCUGGGGGGUGGCUCCAAAGCCCCUGGAAAGCGAAGGGAGAGAGGGAAAGUUGGGUCUCUUCCAAAGAGUUAAUGUUCCACAGUAUGAUCGAUUAGGUGUCAGAUGUAAUUUCAAACCAAUACAAGAUGAAUGGCAUAAUUUUCCCUCUCUCAUUUUAGACAGAAUUAAGAAUCCAUUAGCUAACACAAAUUUUUGGCAAGUUUAAUAGGAGCUCAAAUCUACAUUUGGAGGAAACGCUCCCCAAAGCUGGUUUUGGGCUCUGACUUCCUGGGCCCCCUUCCUCCAGCUUCCUCCACUCCUCGCAGGUCCCCGAGUCCCCAGCCCCAGCCCGGGAGGUGCAGUGGCCUGAACCCCAGAGGCCCCCCCACACCGUUGGCUCCCAGCCUGUGGGAGAGGGGAGGGCAGCUGCCUCCAGGAAAGGGGGCCGUGCUGGCCCCCGACCGCACCGACCCUAUGGAGAGGGCUGAGGGGGGCACCCGGCCAUUGGCAUCACAGCUACUCUUCAUUCUCACCCGGAAGGAGGAGCUGUUUCUGUCUCCAACAAAGCAUCACCCAGUUCACGGGCACAAGCCCAGGCUCGACUUCUGUCACGUUUACACACACCAGUCCACGUGCCAUACCUGAGGGGUGGGGAGAUCACUGCACGCCCCAUUGCAUACCAAGGAAACUGAGGCCAGGAGGAGUUGUCAGAGUCAGCUGGGCCAAGAGGGCUGUGGCUCUGCUCACUAGAGCCCUGAGGCAUCAACCUCUGUGCCUCAGUUUCCUCAUCUGUAAAAUCGAAAGGCUCCUGGCCAGGCAUGGUUGUGCAGGCCUAUAACCCCAGCAUUGGGGAGGCCGAGGCAGGUGGAUCGCUGGGAAUGUGAGGCCAGCCUGGGCUAUAUAGUGAGUUCAAGGCCGGCCUGAACUACAUUGUGAGACCCUGUCUCUAAACAAUAAAUGAAUUGGGCCGGGGAUUUAGUUCAGUAGUUUCACCACCUGCUACACAAGUGCAAAGGACCUGAGUUUGAUCCCCAGUACCAAAAAACAAAAAAAUUAACCAAACAAAUAAAUUAAUUUAAAAAAUAAAGACAGCAUUCAUGUCUGUCCAGUAGAAGGACCAAGUGUUUACUCUGUGCCGGCCUUUUCCCUGACCCCCAGACUGCACAGCCUGGUGGAGAGACAGCGGUGUAGACGGAACCCUGCCCUGAAAGGCGAGAGAGGCCGGAGGGGUAAUUCCAGCUGCUGACCCCUUCCCAGGCAUCCACUCAUGGCCAGAGGGGGAGCCGAGUCUUUCCGCAUGGUAACCUUGAUGCACCUUCCAGCAGCCUGCUCAGAAAGUGCUGUCAUCACACCCAGUUUCCGGAUGAGGAGAGGAAGCUGGGACUCAUGGCACAAUGGGAGCUCCAGCCCAGACAGCCUGGGCCCAAGGCCGUGGUGGGCGGGAGAUCGGCACAAAGACCUGACUGAUGAGCAGGAGUCUGCCAGGUGGGCAAGAGCAUGCUGGGAGCAAGAACAGCGUGAGCAAGGUCACAGGAAGAAGCCUCAGCACGCGGGCGGUGAGUAACACUGUUGACGGGUGUCGCCGCUGCUCCUGUGGAGGAUGGCAGAGGACAAGCUUGCAGGAAAGCUGCGAAGUCCUUCCUGUGCCUGCCUCCUGUGUUCAGGCUACAGCUUCAUCCGCUGUCCGACAGCAGGCGCUGGGCUAGGGAUGCAUCUCUGCGGUAGAAUGUCACCCAGCACGUGCCAGGCCCCAGGUUUGAUCCCCAGCACCGCAAAUAAUGAUAGGCACAGCCAGCCUCUCCCCAGGCCAAAGGCUUUCUCUUGGUCCCUUAUACUUUGUAGCGAUAAGCUCUGUUGCCCCAUUUUCAGGUGAGUCACCUGAGGCUAGAACAUGCACAUUAACUUGGCUCAAAGAGACAGAGUCAGAGCCAAACUGCAGGCCCAGACCUGACGCCAGAGCCCGCUGUGUCCUCAAAGACAUCAGGGGACCUGGGAGGAAUUUUCAGCUGUCCGCUGCUUUAUAGGAAGAAUGUUGGCAGGGCAGAGAGGUCAGAUUGGAGCAGGGUGAGACCAGAGAUGGGAAGGCAGAAGGAAGCCUCAGCCCUGGUCUGGGUGAAAGUUGCCAGGCGUGGUGGAACACACCUGUGAUCUCACCACUCACCAGGCGGAGCAGGAGAAUUACUGCAAGUUUGAGACCAGCCAGGGCUACAUCAGUGACUUCAAGGCUAGUCUGAACUACAGAGCCAGACCCUGUCUCACACCCACACACACACCCAUUUAGCAGAUAAGAGGGCUGAGGUUUGGAGGGCUGGACCCUGCACCCCUGCACCUAGGUUCAGCUCUGCCCUCCUGACCUGGCCAAUGCUCCCUGAGAGGGCCAGGCAUGGUGGGGCACACACAUCUGUCAUACCAGCACUCGGGAGGCUGAGGCAGGAGGACCGCCUGAGCGCAAGGUCAGCCUGAACUAUAUGGAGAUGCUGUCUCAAAAACAAACAAAUCUCCUGUUUUGUAUAUGGACCCGCUUUUCUGUUUUAACCCAGCAAAAGGGCCCUGAGGGAGGCAGGGGAAGGGCCUGAGGGGGAGAGAAGGGAAGUGGGGUUGGAGGUCCUGUUAGCACCUGCUGCUAACUGCUGGGAGCCGGCAGGAAGACGUUCAGGAGGGGCGGUGUUUGGUUCUCUAAGUCCUGAAGAGAAGACCCUCAUCCCUUUACUUGGUUUCUCCACUUUUUUUUGUACCGGGAUCGAACUCAGGUCCUUGUGCUUGCAGGGCAGGUGGUACAGGUUCCUCCACUCUUAGGCAGCCCCUCCUACUGUCUAACUCUAUCUUUCCUAAUGGAGUCACAAAGAACCCCAGGUACCCACUUUCAGAAAGCUUCUGGAGGGCAUGAUGGUCCACACCCAUAACCCCAGCACUUUGGGAGGCUGAGACAGGAGGAGCGCCAAGGGUCCUGCCUGGACAGGUUAGUGAGACCCUGCCUCAGAAUUAUAAAUGGACAGAUGGAUGGAUGGAUGGAUGGGAGGAAGAAAGGAAGGAAGGAAGGAAGGAGAAAAAGAGAAAAAGAAAGAAGGAAAGAAAGAGAAAGAAAGAAAGAAAGAAAGAAA